rnacentral:lncRNA from 1 species
GUUUAUUUUUUAGCACUUUAUCAUUACUGCAAACCUCCUUCAUUACUACUGCUCUCUGCGCUUUCACGAACAAGUUCUAAGUGCUGUUCUUCCGAAUCUGCAUUCAGACGUAAAUUCGUAUUUUCGUACAUUACAGUUUACGUUUACGUUUGAUUCUGCAGAACUGUCUUCCGUGCUUUUACGAACGAGUUUCUUUGCAGUUUACACUUACAUUUUGAUCCUAUUAACUGCAAACUGUCCUCUACAAUUUUACGAACGAGUUUCAACAUUUAGACGUAAAACUGCAUUUAGACGUAAAUCGGCUUUCCUUGCACAAUCAUCAGAUCUCAGUUCAUGUUUACGUCUUGAUUUCAACUGCAUACUGCCUUCUGCGAGUAUACAAACGAGUUUCAAAGUUCAGACGUAAAUCUGCGUUUAAGACGUAAAUCUGCGUUUAGACGUAAAUCUGCGUCUAGACGUAAAUCUGCGUUUAGACGUAAAUCUAUUUUUUGCAGAUUACUUUUUGAGCUGUACAACAGCAGCACAUUGUCUUUAUACUUCUGCUUAAACUGCUCCUAGACGCAAACUGUGUUUAGACGCAAUCUGCGUUUAGACGCAAUCUGCGCUUAGACGCAAUCUGCGCUAAGACGCAAACUGCGC